rnacentral:lncRNA from 1 species
ACUGCCUGUGCGAAUGUUUGUGUAGUAGACUGUUGGUUUGUGUUGGUACUCUCUUGAGGUUUUGGUGUUGGUAGCAAUGGUGUUUUUCUUUGUGUGCUGUUUGCUUCAUAAUUUUGUGCUUGUGUGUUUGUAUUAUUUUGAAUGUUAAUUAUGCAUGUUUUUAUGUUCUUAUAUUUUAGCCAUCCUUUAUAGUUUGCCGUAUGUUGCUGUUGGCAGUUACAGCAGUAUGAUUGCGGAUUUAUGCGUGGGCAAUCAGUGUUUCUGUGUUCUCUCCCACGCUGCGUAGGGUAAAAGCGGCUACCACAUGUCCAAAGCUUUGGCAGCUGUAACACUGGGUUACAACUACCGCUGGCGUUUUUAUGGAUUCUUCGAUACCAGAAAAUAAUACCAUUUGAUAUUACACUCUGGAUAUCUUGUGUUUCGUGUACGUAUAUUCUAACUAGGUUUGUAAAUCUCUGUGUUCUGUUGGAAAAAAAAUUCGUUCAACUUUAGUGAAUUGUAUGUGUUUAUUUGUGAGUUCAGUUUCAAUGUCUUCGUUUGUAAUGCUGGUGUGUAUAUAUUUUAUAACAAAAUAUUUUGGGUUCGGUUUGUUUUCUGGUAUGUGUACUGCGAUGUUUCCGGGUUUAAAUGCGUCUUGCGCCAUUCUUUCAAUAGACGGUUGAGGUCAGCGGCCUAUGACCCUUUAACUAGGACCCCGCCCUAGGCUAGACGCUUGAUUGCUGUUAUGUUUACUUUCGGCUUACAUCUUUUGAUUUCAGCCACAAGUUGUGUUCCCUAUACUGCGCUGGAAUUCCUUAUAUUAUUAUUGAGUACUGUUGUGUUUUUUAUGUUACAUUUGUUUGAGUGAUCGUGUUUUGUGGUGUCAGUUUUCUUAGUUUCUUAGGUGUUACCAGAAUGAAAUCAUUUGUAUCUUCGUGUAUUUGUGGUGUUUCUUGUGAUGGUUUACAUUCAACUAAGUUUGCUUCUUUUUGUUUCACUUCUUGUUCAUGUGCGUUUUCGUGUGCUUCUUUAUGUUGUGUUUGAUUUAGUGUCUGGUUGUAUUCUUCUUUGUGUUCAUGUGAUUUUGGUGUUUCUGCUUGUUUCUAUGACUUCCAUGUCUGAGUUCUCUACUCGUGAGUUUGAUUUUGUUGUCUUUUUAAGUUUUUUUUUGCUCUCAUCCUUAGUUUGUAGUCCUUUUUGCAAGGGCUACUAGUUGGUUAAGUUAUGGGGUGAAGUGUUUUGUGUUUUCUAUUAUUGAAUCUGCAACCAAACCAGCCUUACCUGAAGCUCUGCUCGUGCUGGGCGUUGACAUAGAUCCCCGCCACCGGAGGUUUUGGACAUAGCUGUCGGUGUGCUUUCUUCUUGUAACGGGUACUUUGGCUUCAGAUUUCGGCUUGGAUAGAAUUUUUGGCGGCAGCCCAGUGAAGUAGAGUUUUCUCGGGGCACCCCCCCCCCAUACCUGAAUACCAUAUAGGUAUAAAUAUCUCUAGGGAAAAUCAACGGACACGGCUCCAAAUGUUCCUUUGCUGAUGUGAGUGUUCUAAGUUCCCCAAUGGAGCCUGGGGCAAAGCCUUAAUCGCCGACAUUUCUGAUGCAUUUUAGGCGGGAAAAGAGAAUACAAAACUCUAUUUUAAGUUGCUUUAUUAUGUUGAGGGCAUAUAAUCCAGUGACAGAAUGCUCGUGACCUGUGAUAACGUCGAGACGAAUGAGACUCCAGUAUGUCAGUGCAUAAUGAAAUGAUGGUCCUGCACCUUGAAACCAGUGGAAAUGAGCUUAAGCAUUCACUGUAUUCUGUGGUAGGAACAGAUAGAAGUAGAGGUUAACCUGUCUACUCAUUUAACCACAGAGGGCAGAACAUCUUUUACAUAGUUAGAGAAACACUCUGAUGGAGGAAUGUAAAGAUUUGUCUGCACCCUCACUGUGGCAAUAGGACACUGGAAAUAGGAGAUGAGGUCGAAACCUCGACCUAGAUAAAACGCAGAUAUCCCAUUUUGAGUUUUUGCGCAAUAUCCUGUUUCCUAUUUUGUUUUGCAAUUUAAAACCAAACAAGUGGAAAGUGGGUGAAUCAACAUAUUUUCACAUGUCACUCAACUGUGUGUUAAUUUAGAGAUGGACAUAUAAAUCUGUCAACUGCUACUAUUUAUAGCAGCUUACAGAAAAUAAAGAAGAAUGAAGAAGAAAGAUCUACUUUUCGAAAGCGCUCGGUUUAUAGCGUUUUUAUUAAUUUCUAUCAAGACUUCUUGAACCUAUGUGUUUUUCUAACAUCAUGAAGCUUACAGAAAAUCAUAUACGAUUAGCAUUUUCUUAUGUUGCCCCCCAGUGGCACAUCAUGUAGUUUGGA